AGCAGCCGCGGUAAUUCCAGCUCCAAUAGCGUAUAUUAAAGUUGUUGCAGUUAAAAAGCUCGUAGUUGAAUUUCGGAAUUNGUCGGUUGGUCGGGCUUCACUGUCCGCACUGACCUGAUGGAUUCCUACCUUCUGAAUAACCAGCAUGCUAUUAAGUUAGUGCGUUGGGGAAGCAGAGCUAUUACCUUGAAAAAAUUAGAGUGCUUAAAGCAGGCUUGUGCUUGAAUAGAUUAGCAUGGAAUAAUAAAAUAGGACGGCAUGGUUCUAUUUUGUUGGUUUCUAGGAUCACCGUAAUGAUUAAUAGGGAUAGUUGGGGGCAUUAGUAUUCAAUUGUCAGAGGUGAAAUUCUUGGAUUUAUUGAAGACUAACUUCUGCGAAAGCAUUUGCCAAGGAUGUUUUCAUUAAUCAAGAACGAAAGUUAGGGGAUCGAAGACGAUCAGAUACCGUCGUAGUCUUAACCAUAAACUAUGCCGACUAGGGAUCGGACGAUGUUAAUUUUUUAAUGACUCG
rnacentral:rRNA from 1 species